GGACCCGGCACUUGGCCUUGUUGUCACCCCAUUGAUUGCCAGGGUUGAUUCGGCUGAUCUGGCUGGCUAGGUGGGUGUCUCCUUCCUCUCUCACUGCUCCAUGUGCAUCCCACCCAAAGCUGUGCACUUGCUUGAAGAGGACGACCUUCCCUGAUAGAGGUGUACCAUUCAUCAGUCAAGGGUUUAUGGUAGCUGCACUCCCCUGCUAGAAUCUCCAGACAAGCUCAAGGUCCAUUUGUAGGAGAACUGCUAGAGUGAGGUUUCAGCAACUCGCCUCACUCAAGCCCCGAGUUGGCCAAACUGAGCUACAGCAACCUCAGUUGCU
rnacentral:snRNA from 1 species